rnacentral:rRNA from 1 species
AGUCGUACGCUUCUUUUUCCACCGGAGCUUGCUCCACCGGAAAAAGAGGAGUGGCGAACGGGUGAGUAACACGUGGGUAACCUGCCCAUCAGAAGGGGAUAACACUUGGAAACAGGUGCUAAUACCGUAUAACAAUCGAAACCGCAUGGUUUUGAUUUGAAAGGCGCUUUCGGGUGUCGCUGAUGGAUGGACCCGCGGUGCAUUAGCUAGUUGGUGAGGUAACGGCUUACCAAGGCCACGAUGCAUAGCCGACCUGAGAGGGUGAUCGGCCACAUUGGGACUGAGACACGGCCCAAACUCCUACGGGAGGCAGCAGUAGGGAAUCUUCGGCAAUGGACGAAAGUCUGACCGAGCAACGCCGCGUGAGUGAAGAAGGUUUUCGGAUCGUAAAACUCUGUUGUUAGAGAAGAACAAGGAUGAGAGUAACUGUUCAUCCCUUGACGGUAUCUAACCAGAAAGCCACGGCUAACUACGUGCCAGCAGCCGCGGUAAUACGUAGGUGGCAAGCGUUGUCCGGAUUUAUUGGGCGUAAAGCGAGCGCAGGCGGUUUCUUAAGUCUGAUGUGAAAGCCCCCGGCUCAACCGGGGAGGGUCAUUGGAAACUGGGAGACUUGAGUGCAGAAGAGGAGAGUGGAAUUCCAUGUGUAGCGGUGAAAUGCGUAGAUAUAUGGAGGAACACCAGUGGCGAAGGCGGCUCUCUGGUCUGUAACUGACGCUG